rnacentral:tRNA from 1 species
AAGGAUUUAAGUUAAAUUAAACUUGGAGCCUUCAAAGCUCCCCAUAAAGCAUACGCCUUUAAGCCUUA